CAAAUUAACAACAUAAACCAAAUUAACUAAUUUAGCAUAUAUUGAUUUAGAAAAUGCUCACAGAAAAGAAAUAUACUGGACAUAACAAUGAUCAAUCUAACUAAAUGUAAGUACAAAAUACAGCAAUGCUCACAAAGUACAAAUUACACUACUAGCAGCAAAUUAGAUGGAACAUAAAGGUAGAGAGAAAUAUUAGGUACCAUUUAGUUAGGUUUUUCUUUUCCUUUCAAUUUUUGAAAAUUUAUUU
rnacentral:misc_RNA from 1 species